GAGGUUGUGUGUGUGUGCGUGUGUUGUCUUGCUUUAGCAGCAUGUAAAUAUUGGAGUUACUCCUUGGCCAAUGCCUCCAAUAUUGCUCGUGCUGCUGAAGCAAGAAGUCACCAAGCAGCACAUGCACGUCAUCCUU